UUUGCAUUUCAUUUAAGUUACA
rnacentral:snRNA from 1 species